rnacentral:sRNA from 1 species
AUGCCACGGUUACUUCAAAAUGAACGCGAACAAGCUGUUGGCAUGAUCAGAGCUGGGAUGACGCACGCUGACGUCGCAAAUCAUUUUCACGUGGCAAGAAUAACAAUAUCAAGAUUGAUGAUUCGUAUGAGGCAAACUGGCUCAACAAAUGAUCGACCACGUAGCGGCAGACCCCAUGAGACGUCACAACGUCAAGACCGCGCGAUACGUCUUUCGCACUUGCGCACCCGUACAUUAAAUGCAGAAAAUACAGCCCGAGGAAUACCUGGACGUCACAACAACAGAAUUUCGGGUCAGACAGUUCGUCGAAGACUCAGAGCGCAUGGACUUUGUUCUAGGCGUAUAUUGAAAGGGCCGUUCUUUAAACAGCGUCAUGUGCAAGACGACGUUGGAGGUUGCACACUUGGCAACAUAUCCUUUUUACAGGUGAGUCCCGAUUUGCUCUCCGUUUUAGUGAUGGACGCCUGA